rnacentral:rRNA from 1 species
AUUGAACGCUGGCGGCAUGCCUUACACAUGCAAGUCGAACGGCAGCAUGGAGAGCUUGCUCUCUGAUGGCGAGUGGCGAACGGGUGAGUAAAGCAUCGGAACGUACCGUGUAGUGGGGGAUAACGUAGCGAAAGUUACGCUAAUACCGCAUACGCACUGAGGUGGAAAGCAGGGGAUCGCAAGACCUUGCGCUAUACGAGCGGCCGAUGUCAGAUUAGCUAGUUGGUAGGGUAAAGGCCUACCAAGGCGACGAUCUGUAGCGGGUCUGAGAGGAUGAUCCGCCACACUGGGACUGAGACACGGCCCAGACUCCUACGGGAGGCAGCAGUGGGGAAUUUUGGACAAUGGGGGCAACCCUGAUCCAGCCAUGCCGCGUGAGUGAAGAAGGCCUUCGGGUUGUAAAGCUCUUUCGGCCGGGAAGAAAUCGCACAGGCUAAUACUCUGUGUGGAUGACGGUACCGGCAUAAGAAGCACCGGCUAACUACGUGCCAGCCGCCGCCGUAACAC